GAGUUUGAUCGUGGCUCAGGACGAACGCUGGCGGCGUGCUUAACACAUGCAAGUGGUGCGACGAACCAGGGCUUGCCCUGGGGCAAAGCCGCGAACGGGUGAGUAACACGUGGGUAAUCUGCCCCGAUGACCGGGACAACCCGAGGAAACUCGGGCUAAUACCGGAUGUGGUGCACUGACAUAAGUCUGUGUACUAAAGGAAGCUUCGGCCUCCGCAUUGGGAGGUGCCCGCGGCCCAUUAGCUUGUUGGUGGGGUAAUGGCCUACCAAGGCAACGAUGGGUAGCUGGUCUGAGAGGACGAUCAGCCACACUGGGACUGAGACACGGCCCAGACUCCUACGGGAGGCAGCAGUGGGGAAUCUUGCGCAAUGCGCGAAAGCGUGACGCAGCAACGCCGCGUGGGGGAAGAC
rnacentral:rRNA from 1 species